rnacentral:rRNA from 1 species
GACGAACGCUGGCGGCGUGCUUAACACAUGCAAGUCGAACGGAAAGGCCCUGCUUUUGUGGGGUGCUCGAGUGGCGAACGGGUGAGUAACACGUGAGUAACCUGCCCUUGACUUUGGGAUAACUUCAGGAAACUGGAGCUAAUACCGGAUAGGAGCUCCUGCUGCAUGGUGGGGGUUCGAAAGUUUCGGCGGUUGGGGAUGGACUCGCGGCUUAUCAGCUUGUUGGUGGGGUAGUGGCUUACCAAGGCUUUGACGGGUAGCCGGCCUGAGAGGGUGACCGGCCACAUUGGGACUGAGAUACGGCCCAGAGGCCUACGGGAGGCAGCAGUGGGGAAUAUUGCACAAUGGGCGGAAGCCUGAUGCAGCAACGCCGCGUGCGGGAUGACGGCCUUCGGGUUGUAAACCGCUUUCGCCUGUGACGAAGCGUGAGUGACGGUAAUGGGUAAAGAAGCACCGGCUAACUACGUG